UAUAGUUUCUAUAAGCAUCUUUUAUUUAUUCAAAGCCUUCCAGCCUCCAUAUCUCAAGGUCUGACUGUACAUCCCUUUGUAGCAAUCGUCAGAUAAGCACAUAUGCCCGUAUAAACACUUGGGGAAAUUUUAAGUUAUUAGACAUUUGUCUCAAAAUGAAGAGACCUGGGGACUCACUUCCAAAAUGUCUACCACGUAUAUUAUUCUACAGUCAAAUCCUUAUCUAGGCUUAUAGCUUAAUUGAUAGCUUACACCUCAACAUUUAAAAAUAAAUUCUAAUUUCAUAUAAACCCAAAAUUCACCUUACAUCUAAAUCCCAAUUUUUACCUUUCACAACUGCUCUAUAGCA
rnacentral:lncRNA from 1 species